rnacentral:rRNA from 1 species
CUUUGGGGUGUGACUGCGUACCUUUUGUAUAAUGGGUCAGCGACUUAUAUUCUGUAGCAAGGUUAACCGAAUAGGGGAGCCGGAGGGAAACCGAGUCUUAAUUGGGCGUUAAGUUGCAGGGUAUAGACCCGAAACCCGGUGAUCUAGCCAUGGGCAGGUUGAAGGUUGGGUAACACUAACUGGAGGACCGAACCGACUAAUGUUGAAAAAUUAGCGGAUGACCUGUGGCUGGGGGUGAAAGGCCAAUCAAACCGGGAGAUAGCUGGUUCUCCCCGAAAGCUAUUUAGGUAGCGCCUCGUGAAUUCAUCUCCGGGGGUAGAGCACUGUUUCGGCUAGGGGGCCAUCCCGGCUUACCAACCCGAUGCAAACUGCGAAUACCGGAGAAUGUUAUCACGGGAGACACACGGCGGGUGCUAACGUCCGUCGUGAAGAGGGAAACAACCCAGACCGCCAGCUAAGGUCCCAAAGUCAUGGUUAAGUGGGAAACGAUGUGGGAAGGCCCAGACAGCCAGGAUGUUGGCUUAGAAGCAGCCAUCAUUUAAAGAAAGCGUAAUAGCUCACUGGUCGAGUCGGCCUGCGCGGAAGAUGUAACGGGGCUAAACCAUGCACCGAAGCUGCGGCAGCGAACGUAUCACUUAAAGCGAUUCAGCGGGUUACGAUUGACGGAGCGAAGCGACGUCAAAGCGUAUACAAAGUCGAGUCGGUUUAAGGAUACGUU